rnacentral:antisense_RNA from 1 species
UUGACAACGGGCUUUGCUCAGUGUCAGACAAAUUAGACCACGACCAUAGGUCGCCAUAAAAUUAAUAGCUUCAGGUGUAAUUUUUUCAGAUGCAAUAAUCA